ensembl:lncRNA
AUGACACCUGCCAGUUUGGUGUUAGCCUGGCUCCUGCUCGCUGUGAGGACAGUCACCUCUGCUGUGUAUCUGGAGCCCGAGGAGGAGGAGCUCAAUGAAACUGUCCUCUGCACCAAUGACCAGAUGGAGGUGGUCAUUCCCAGUGCCUUCUUCCUCAAUAAAUUGCCACCCAUUUAUGUCUGGGAUUUGCACCUAAAUGACCCAGAGUGCCGUGGUGUUGAGAUUGAAGAUGACUAUGUCUUCAGCAUCAAUACUAAUCUCUCUGACUGUGGGACAAUCAUGGUAAGACUUUGAGCUUUUCCCCCCUAGAAAUGCCCUUUCAUACUUGGGGAAUUUCAUUGCCAUUCUCUGGUAAUUGCUUUGGGAGAUUAAGAUUCACUUGUCUACGCCAACUAUGAAGGAUUUAAAUCCGUAAAGUAAACAAAGUAGUAACCUUUGCCGUUCGGAGCAACCCUGACAAAGAAGAAAAACAUAAGCACCAGUAACAUGGAGACAAACUACAGUUUGGAUCUCUUUUACCAGCCACAUAAAAUCCCCAUCACAGUAAAUUAUCUAAUUUUACGAUGCACCUCUGUUGUAUUGAGCUCUGGCCUGACGCCUGGUGUAGUAUUGUAGAACUUCUCUGCACUGGUUUGUGCCAGGAAAAAGGACUUUUUAUGUCUCUGUGUCCAGCAUGGAGGAAGUUAGAGGUAGGUUCGCAAGCCAACGCUAACUAGCGUUAGCGCAAUGACUGGAAGUCUAUGGGUAUCUGCUAGCAUGCUUAGUAUAUACGGAUAGCCUUCCAGUCAUUGCGCUAAAAUCCCGAAGUAUCCCUUUAAUUGGGGGAGCUCAAUGGGAGUUUGGACACAAGCAAUGCUCAUAAUAACUAGCAUGAAUAACACCUCUUUUCCUUUAAGUUACGUACAUGGGCCUCCGCUAUCAGUUUCCUGCAAUGAAAUGAUCCCAUAAUCUGUCAAAAAAAGCGUGAGGGCGAGACCCAGACAGAGAGAAAGAGAGAGGGGAGGGAUAAGUAGCCUAUAUUUAAAAGAAAAUGGGAGUGUUGUUCCUUUGCCCUUCUAAGAGCCACUGGACUUUAUUCAAAGCAGCGCGGAGUGGGUGGGAGCUCUAAAAUGAUCUGGAUUGACAUGGAAAUGAGCGUGUUUUCAGGCCUGCUGAAUAGCCAGGCUAUAAUUCAUUGGCCCACUUUGUAGUCGUCCCUUUUAUACUACCUCUCAGCCGCGUCUCAUACAGUGGUGGCGGGAGCACAGCUCCGAGGACAAUUUUAACUUUGGCAUGGUAUAAAUCUGUACUCAAGACCAUGAGUGUCAUUGAAACACUUGCUUAGAAUGCACAGAGGCAUUUCUUGUAAAGCAAGCAAAAGGUUAACACAGCUUUGUGUGUGUGUGUGUGUGUGGGGGGGGGGGGGGGGGGGGGGGGGUCGGUUCGGGUCUCUCCCCCCUUUCUCUACCCUCUGAGGUUUUACAAGGCUUUUGCUUCAGCAAACCAGCCCUAGUGAAAGUAGUAAGCCCGCUUUGCUUCUGGGAUUAGACACUGUUGGGAAAAGAAGGGAAUGCCAUAGUUAGCAAACACUCCUCCUUUCACCUUGAGAGGUAGAAGUAGACCCUCUUAAACCUCUUGAACCCCACAGACAGGACCGGAGAGAAUAGCAAGUGGGAAUGUAAUGACUCUCCAAAAUAAAUUGGACUUGCAGAUUUUGUCACCCAUUGCCAUAAUCAUUGUGGUCUCUCUGUCAAAUUGCAUGAGUUUGUUAAUUCACCAUUCAUAAGAACCCAAAGUCAGUGAACAGAGCAUUAUUCCUACAGAAUAAUGAAGACGUUAGUGCACUAUGUAGGGAAUAGGCUGCUAUUUAAGGCGCAGCUUCUGUGGGUCAGACAGUAGGCCCUGUGUAUUUACCCUGGGGUAAUAAAACAGUACUGGACAGUAGGGACAAGGGGCAAUUCAUCCUUCUCAAUGGCCAUGGGACCAGUCCUCCAGUUGCUCUCAACGGGGAUCCGGACACAACCCAGUCACAACCUUUUCAUCCAACCCCUCUUUAUGGUUUCUGCCUACGUCAGUAGUCUUCUACUAAGCGUUUGAAUUGUAUUACUCACACAUUCUAUAGUGACAGAAAAUGACAGUGCUGCUGCCUACUGUACGUAGGCGCUGUGGUUGGGGAAAGAGUCAUCUUGGAACCCAGAACCAAAUCUUGCAUGGGCUGGCCAGCUACUCAAUUUGAGAUUUAUGUUUGAUGUUUGAUAUUAUGUCACAGGAAAUUAAGAAAAGAGUUUGCUGAAGAGGGGUAACUUUUGGUGAAUGUAACAGGGUUUGGGACGUGUAGCGUGUGCUAGCUCACCCUUUCAUGGUUAUCAAUCUGCAGUUACAGUGCAUUUGGGAAAUAUUCAAACUGCUUUACUUUUUCCACAUUUUGUUACUUUACAGCCUUAUUCUGAAAUGUAUAACAAUGUAAAACAUCUCAUAAUUCUACACACAAUACCCCAUAAAGACAAAGCAAAAACAGGUUUUUAGAAAUGUUUGCAAAUUUAUUAUAAAUAAAAAAACUGAAAUAUCACAUA